rnacentral:sRNA from 1 species
AAUCUAUCAUAAACCACACACGUGAAUUAUUUAUGUUGGCCAUCCGGGGUAAAAUCCGGGUUGGGGUAAAUUUACCGCAAGGCAAGUUUAUCCUGGCUGCCGUACUACUAUCUAGUAGUUGGUUUCGGCCGUACUGCUAACCAACAACAAACUAAAUAACUAUUAAAAAUGGAUGUACAGCAUAGUGCUGUAUAUUCGCAAACCAAGACAACUCUCAACAACGGAUAUCUUGGCUCUCAGAUCGAUGAAGAACGCAGCGAAAUGCGAUACGUAGUGUGAAUUGCAGAAAUACGUGAAUCAUCGAAUCUUUGAACGCAAAUUGCGCUCGGGGCUUCGGCCAAGAGCAUGUCUGCCUCAGCGUCGGGUUAAAACUCACUUCAACAUCCCUGUUGGAGUGGAACUGACCGUCUCAGCAACUUUCGUUGCUGGGUCGGUUGAAGUUUGCAGCUGCUGAUACAUGGAACUGCCGUAUCGGGCCUCUACUGGGUAGGCAAUUAAUUUUGCUGCAGUAGUUGGCUUCGUGUCCGUGUGUUGGCACAAAACAGGAACAUGCCUCUGGCACUAUCCUCUCUUUUAUCGACCUGAGCUCAGGCAAGA